AUGAGCCACUCUGAGUCUUCCAGCGAGCGCAGGAAGGAGGCAGGACCAGGCUCGGUGGCAGGACAGCCCGGGACACAGGCCUUCAGCAGCUUCUUGAAGCUCGCCUUCACCUGCCGCGCCUCGAACACCUCAAUGGGCACCAGCUCCCACUGCUGCAGGGGGUCUGGCCGCACGCCCUGCAGAAGGCCGACCGUGAGGGCUGCACGCUGUGGCCGCAGAAAGCCUGGGUCAGCAGGGGCCCCGUUGGCCUGGGGCGGGCCCACGCCUGCUAGCCGGGACCCCACAUCAGUGCUGAGCCCACCACUGCGCCCGCUGGCCCGGACGCUGCCCCAUUUCCCUGCACAGAGAAACGAGCCCAUGGACGCUGCCCGGGCUGCUCAUGACGCAGCCGCCCAGCACUCCUUGCCAGGCACACAGCAGCAGGAGGUGACCACGAAGUGCGGCACAGAGAGGAGGCGGCCCCCAGCCUGGGACCUCCAAGGCUGGUUCAAUCCAGGCCACGGGCAGGCUCAAGGCUCGUGGGCUAGACGUGCAGGGAGCUGGCAGGACGAGGCUCUGCACUGGCCUCUGGGUUCCAAAGCCAGCACCAAGCCCCGCCUCUCCUGAGUGGGGUGCGGGCCACGGGAGGUGAGCAUGAAGGCAGCCUACCACGCUGCAGAUGGAAGCACCGUCACCCACAGCAAGGACACUGCGUCUUCGUGACAGUCUGAACCAGAACCGGGCACAGCUGAG
rnacentral:lncRNA from 1 species